AGAUACCCUAUUAUUUUGAUUGUAAAAUAUAUUGCCAGGGUAUUAAUAGUUAAGUUCUUUAAACCCAAAGAAUUUGGCGGUACCUUAAUUCCUUUCAGAGGAACCUACCCCGUAAUUGAUAGUCCACGAUUAGAAUUACUUAAUUUUUGUUUGUAUAUCUCCGUUAUCAGAAAGUUUUUUUAGAAUUUUUUAAUUUUCUUAAUUCUUUAUUUUGAAUUAUUUCAGGUCAAGGUUCAGCUAUAGUUAAGUGGAGGCGGGUUACAAUAAUUUUGAUUUUACGGUUUUAUUUAUUUAAAUUUAUAAUUAAGUUGGAUUUGAUAGUAAUUUUUUU
rnacentral:rRNA from 1 species